UCAAACUUGGUCAUUUAGAGGAAGUAAAAGUCGUAACAAGGUUUCCGUAGGUGAACCUGCGGAAGGAUCAUUAAUAAAUGUUUUGGUAUUAAAAUUUGAUGCCAAUCAUCUGUUUUUGUGGUAACAUUGAAAGUAAAAGCUUUUCUGCAAAGAAAGGUGAAAAGGGGGUAAUGUAAAAGGAUUUGUUAAUUGUGAUAAAAAGCAAGAACAAUCUUUUUCAACCCCUAAAAACUUUAUCAACUCUUUAUUUAUUUGACUGAAAUAAAAAUAUUAUCAAAUUUUUAUUUGAUUAAAAUUUUUUUUAAAUAACUUUCAACAACGGAUCUCUUGGUUCUCGCAUCGAUGAAGAACGCAGC
rnacentral:misc_RNA from 1 species